ACGGGAGGCAGCAGUGAGGAAUAUUGGUCAAUGGGCGCAAGCCUGAACCAGCCAUGCCGCGUGCAGGAAGACGGAUCUAUGAUUUGUAAACUGCUUUUAUGCGAGGGUAAAGUUUGGUAAUCUUACCAAUUUGAAAGUAUCGCAUGAAUAAGGAUCGGCUAACUCCGUGCCAGCAGCCGCGGUAAUACGGAGGAUCCGAGCGUUAUCCGGAUUUAUUGGGUUUAAAGGGUGCGUAGGCUGUAUGUUAAGUUAGUCGUUAAAUGAUAAGGCUUAACCUUAUUUUUGCGGUUAAUACUGGCAGACUAGAGAUUAUGUGCAGUGGACGGAAUGUGUGGUGUAGCGGUGAAAUGCUUAGAUAUCACACAGAACACCGAUUGCGAAGGCAGUUCACUAAUGUAAAUCUGACGCUGAGGCACGAAAGCGUGGGGAUCAAACAGGAUUAGAUACCCUGGUA
rnacentral:rRNA from 1 species